UACGCAGGCGGCUGAUUAAGUCUGACGUGAAAGCUCCUGGCUUAACUGGGAGAGGUCGUUGGAAACUAAUUGGCUUGAGGUGAUGAGGGGGUGCGGAAUUCCCGGUGUAGUGGUGGAAUGCGUAGAUAUCGGGAGGAACACCAGUGGCGAAAGCGGCACUCUGGCAUUUACCUGACGCUCAUGUACGAAAGCGUGGGGAGCGAACG
rnacentral:rRNA from 1 species